UACUCGUNACAGAGGNAGCCCUUCGGGGCAGGAAGACAGGUGGUGCAUGGUUGUCGUCAGCUCGUGUCGUGAGAUGUUGGGUUAAGUCCCGCAACGAGCGCAACCCCUAUUGUUAGUUGCUACCAUUAAGUUGAGCACUCUAGCAAGACUGCCUGGGUUAACCAGGAGGAAGGUGGGGAUGACGUCAAAUCAUCAUGCCCCUUAUGUCUAGGGCUACACACGUGCUACAAUGGUCGGUACAAAAAGAUGCRAWCCCGUGAGGGGGAGCYAAACUKAAAAACCGAUCCCAGUUCGGAUUGUAGGCUGAAACUCGCCUACAUGAAGUUGGAGUUGCUAGUAAUCGCGAAUCAGCAUGUCGCGGUGAAUACGUUCCCGGGUCUUGUACACACCG
rnacentral:rRNA from 1 species